rnacentral:rRNA from 1 species
UACGUAGGAGACGAGCGUUGUCCGGAAUUACUGGGCGUAAAGCGCGUGUAGGCGGAUGGGCAAGUCUGCUGUGAAAGCUCCUGGCUUAACCGGGAGUGGUCGGUGGAAACUGCCAAUCUGGAGGACGGUAGAGGUAGGUAGAAUUCCCGGUGUAGUGGUGAAAUGCGUAGAGAUCGGGAGGAAUACCUGUGGCGAAGGCGGCCUACUGGGCCGGACCUGACGCUGAGACGCGAAGGCGUGGGGGAGCGAACGGG